rnacentral:rRNA from 1 species
GACGAACGCUGGCGGCGUGCCUAAUACAUGCAAGUCGAACGCACUCUCGUUUAGAUUGAAGGAACUUGCUCCUGAUUGAUAAACAUUUGAGUGAGUGGCGGACGGGUGAGUAACACGUGGGUAACCUGCCCUAAAGUGGGGGAUAACAUUUGGAAACAGAUGCUAAUACCGCAUAAAACCUAACACCGCAUGGUGUAGGGUUGAAAGAUGGUUUCGGCUAUCACUUUAGGAUGGACCCGCGGUGCAUUAGUUAGUUGGUGAGGUAAAGGCUCACCAAGACCGUGAUGCAUAGCCGACCUGAGAGGGUAAUCGGCCACACUGGGACUGAGACACGGCCCAGACUCCUACGGGAGGCAGCAGUAGGGAAUCUUCCACAAUGGACGAAAGUCUGAUGGAGCAACGCCGCGUGAGUGAAGAAGGUUUUCGGAUCGUAAAACUCUGUUGUUGGAGAAGAUGUAUCUGAUAGUAACUGAUCAGGUAGUGACGGUAUCCAACCAGAAAGCCACGG